rnacentral:rRNA from 1 species
AUACGUAGGGUGCAAGCGUUAAUCGGAAUUACUGGGCGUAAAGCGUGCGCAGGCGUUUUUGUAAGGCAGAGGUGAAAGUCCGUGGCCCCAACUGGGAACUGCCUUUGGGACUGGAAAGCUAGAGUACGGGAGACGGGGAUGGAAUUUCCGGUGUAGCAGUGGAAUGCGUAGAUAUGCGGAGGAACAUCGAUGGAGAAGGCAAUCCCCUGGGCCUGUACUGACGCUCAUGCACGAAAGCGUGGGGAGCAAACAGGAUUAGAUACCCUGGUAGUCCACGCCCUAAACGAUGUCAACUGGUUGUUGGGUCUUCAUUGACUCAGUAACGAAGCUAACGCGUGAAGUUGACUGCCUGGGGAGUACGGCCGCAAGGUUAAAACUCAAAUGAAUUGACGG